GAUGAAGAACGCAGCGAAAUGCGAUAAGUAGUGUGAAUUGCAGAAUUCCGUGAAUCAUCGAGUCUUUGAACGCACAUUGCGCCCCCUGGUAUUCCGGGGGGCAUGCCUGUCCGAGCGUCAUUGCAACCCUCAAGCACGGCUUGUCUAAUGGGCGGUUCGUCUGCGGCCAUCCGCCGGAGACGCCCCCGAAAUGCAGUGGGGAUGUUCGCUAAAUCGCAGCGUCAGGAAUGGAAAUAAACAAUGCUGACGGCUCGAUGUCGAACGUCCACCUAAGGCGUGCCGCCCCCCCGGGGUGUGCCGCCCAACCUCUCUCGGUUGACCUCGGAUCAGGUAGGGAUACCCGCUGAACUUAAGCAUAUCAUAAGCGGAGGA
rnacentral:misc_RNA from 1 species